rnacentral:rRNA from 1 species
GACGAACGCUGGCGGCGGGCUUAACACAUGCAAGUCGAACGGAAAGGCCCUGCUUUUGUGGGGUGCUCGAGGGGCGAACGGGUGAGUAACACGUGAGUAACCUGCCCUGGACUUUGGGAUAACUUCAGGAAACUGGGGCUAAUACCGGAUAGGAGCUCCUGCUGCAGGGUGGGGGUUGGAAAGUUUCGGCGGUUGGGGAUGGACGCGCGGUUUAUCAGCUUGUUGGUGGGGGAGUGGCUUACCAAGGCUUUGACGGGUGGCCGGCCUGAGAGGUUGACCGGCCACAUUGGGACUGAGAUACGGACCAGACGCCUACGGGAGGCAGCAGUGGGGAAUAUUGCACAAUGGGCGGAAGCCUGAUGCAGCAACGCCGCGUGCGGGAUGACGGCCUUCGGGUUGUAAACCGCUUUCGCCUGUGACGAAGCGUGAGUGACGGUAAUGGGUAAAGAAGCACCGGCUAACUACGUG